GCUCCCGUGGUGAAAUGGAUAUCACGACUGACUUCGGAUCAGUUAUUCCAGGUUCGAGUCCUGGCGGGAGCA
rnacentral:tRNA from 1 species